UUUCCGGCCCUUGCGGCCGGGCUCCCAUCCCUGUCCCCAGAGUUGGUAACCUCCUCUCUCGAGACGCUGUGGUAAUGGGAGAGAGGCUGUUUUCCUCGGCGGAAGAACACGGAGGGGCUCUACAACAACCGUGAGGGGAUUUACAGCAUCCCUUCCCCAGAAGAACAAAACUACUUGGAGGGAAAGGAUAUCUGUCAAAGAUAGUGUGACCAAGGAGCCCAUGGCACCUGUGCAGAUUCUUUUAACUGGAUGUUGCAAAAAAUAAUUGAAGAACAGAAUAUAUUUUCGUAAUUGAAAGAUCUGGCUGAAGACUUGAGGUCAGUAUCUCUGCAGAAAUAAGCUUUUCUUUUGUUCCACUCUUUACCUAAGUAAUUUUGUGAACCCAUUGUUUCCUGGAAGCAGUGUGUCUCCAGUGAAUCUGAAAUGGAGAUGUUUAAGUGGAGGUUCCUGUAAAAGGCAUUUUGCCUCUGUGGUUCUCCUGUCUCUGUUAUAAAUCGAUUCAGACAUACUGAGGCACAUAAAAGAGAGGGGGUGGAAUUUUCUGGCUGGAGCUCAGAGUUGGUGCUUCAGCAUAAGCUUUGUCUGGUAGAACUGACUUUAAAACCCACUAGAACGCAGCCAUCCCUGGGGGGGGUGUAGCAGUUACUUGAAAGUGACUUUUAUGUGACUGAAAAAGGCACAAAGGAAAUAAGUAAUAGUCCAGAGGUGGAAUUUGAUAACUCUGAAAUGUUUUCAAAGCUGACAGGCAUUCUGGAAUGAUUUGUGAACCGCUGUUCUUUGAAACAAAAUGUACUGUCCAUUGUUUGUGGAGAUGAGGACAGACAGUCCCACCAGAGGCAGUACCUGACUGUAAACCUGAUGCUUCAUCUCUGUUUUACUUGCUAUGACAGGAGAAUGC
rnacentral:lncRNA from 1 species